rnacentral:tRNA from 1 species
GAAAGGUAAGCUAAUCAAGCUACUGGGUUCAUACCCCAUUUAUAGAGGUUUAACCCUCUUCUCUCUA